GUAGGUCGGAAGGGAGGUAAUGGGGUUAUCUGUGGUGUCCAACCUGGUUGGUUUGUGCCAUAGAUUGUUGCUUCUGUUAGUUUCCGAUUUUUGCCUUUUUGCUAAAUCGACCAUUUUCGUGUGCUUUCUUGCGAAAUGACUAACUAGACUUUGUAUAAUCCCUGAGUAUUCUGCGCUCCUUUGGUCAUCCAUUUACGGCUACACAGG